rnacentral:rRNA from 1 species
AUUGAACGCUGGCGGCAGGCCUAACACAUGCAAGUCGAGCGGGGUUUUCGGACCUAGCGGCGGACGGGUGAGUAAUGCGUAGGAAGCUACCCGAUAGAGGGGGAUACCAGUUGGAAACGACUGUUAAUACCGCAUAAUGUCUACGGACCAAAGUGUGGGACCUUCGGGCCACAUGCUAUCGGAUGCGCCUACGUGGGAUUAGCUAGUUGGUGGGGUAAUGGCUGACCAAGGCGACGGUCCCUAGCAGGUUUGAGAGGAUGAUCAGCCACACUGGAGCUGAGAACCAGUCCAGACUCCUACGGGAGACCGCAGUGGGGAAUAUUGGACAAUGGGCGCAAGCCUGAUCCAGCCAUGCCGCGUGUGUGAAGAAGGCCUUCGGGUUGUAAAGCACUUUCAGUAGGGAGGAAGGGUGUUGUGUUAAUAGCACAGCAUUUUGACGUUACCUACAGAAGAAGCACCGGCUAACUCUGUGCCAGCCGCCGCCGUAACAC